AUAGUACCCUUUUUUUUUUUAGUAUUUUAGUUAAAAGUGCCAGUUUUUAAGUGGCAGAAUAUAAAAAUGCCAAAGGAUAAGUCCAGUUGACUCUGUAAUGCUUGAAUUUUGUGCUGUUUAUCCCUCUUUGAGUCAUGCCUCUCCUGAUUUUUAAAACUUAGCUUAAGCAUUUGAAGUUUUCAUGUUUUUGGAGUACUUUUGUUUUAGAUUUUUCUUUCUUCUGUUGUUUUGAAUCUCUUAGUUGUGUCAGUGUAGCCGUUAACUAUCCUUCAUCAGUUGUAAGUGUUAAAACCCAAGGCUUUGACUUCAUAAGGCCUAAAUCAGAAUAGAGAAUGAAGAAAGUAAACGCCAGGAUCUUAAAAAACAUUAAAUGAUAAAGGAGCCAGUGCCAAUUUAGAAAAGCGCUCUUAUCCUUACCUUAGAGUUCUACUUUGGUAAAUGUUAAUAUUUAACCAGUUAGCAACACUAACACCACUAUUUCAACAGUUAACCUUUCAUGUAUAGUAAACGUUGCAAGAUUAACUUCAUAUCUGAUAAAGCAGAGUUGGUUAAAAAAAAGUUUACAAGAAAGUAUAUCUCCAUUUCAAUACUAAUUUAACUCAGGGAAAAUGAAUAUAACCUCUUGCAAUUGCUGUUGAUACGUAGUGGUGGAAAGUAAUUUCAAAUGCUAAACUGUCUGAUGCCCAUCAUGACUUCUGUUCGUGCCAAUGAGGUAAGCAAUUAGGACAAAGAGGGCAUUUCCUGAAAGGGCACCCCCAAUGGCAAUAGAACUCAGCAUGGUAUUUCCAUUUCAGCAACAUUUUUCAACAGAUCCAAUCUUGUUACCUUCAUACUUAAAAGCCUGGACCCAUCCAAACUUUGAAAAUGUUGACGGAAGGUGCAUUUGUGACUUGAACAUUUUCCUCAGGAUUGCACUUAGGGAAAUUGCCAGUGGUGGCUUGAAGACUCUCGGUGAGCCAUUGAAAGCUUUAAAAGUGGAAUUUCUGAUGCCAUAUGGAGGUGGAUUUAACAGGAUUCCUUGUAGGAAAAGCAGGCUAGAAGUUGCAUCUCUUCCAACACUGAAGACAAGAGGAGUCACAGUUUUGCUGAGGAGUUCCAGUGUCAUUAAAUGAGAAUUACAGCUCAGGGGCUUUAUUUGGAUUGAUAUGAAAUGCCCUUGUCACAACUGCCUUAUAGCUUUUCUCAUAGGUGAUAAUCAUUCGUCAGCCCAUGCUAUAAGCAGACCAGUUCCAUUUGUGCUCUACAUAGUGUACUUCGAAGCAGGUGGACUUUCUGGGGAACUGGUAGGCUUGGGCCUUGGGGCUGUUACUGGGAAAGUCUCUGCUUACAGAGUAUUUCUUCCUUGUUGAAGUUAUUUGAAAGGUAUUCCUGGAUAGUUCCUUCACAGAGUUUAAUAGUUACAUUAUUUGUGUGUAUCUGGUUGCCUCUGACAUGUCUCUGUUUUUCAUCUAUGUCUGCCUUGAUGUCAGGUAUAGAUUCCACAAUCUUGAUUCCUUUUGUCCUUGCACUGGGAGAAAUAGUUGUGUCUGACAAGUUAUAACCAAAACUGAACAGUUGGACACUGUAAGGUGUUGCAUUCCUUAUGGAAUCAAAGAGGUACUGUGCCUUGGUCAUGAAAGCAGCAGCAUGAGCAGUUACCCCCUCCAUAUACCACCCAGGGCUGCCAGGGACAGGAAGGGUUGGAACAGGAGGGCCAGGUGGGUUUCCACUGCACCUCCACCAUCUGCCAGGAUCUCUGGUGUAUCCGCCUACAUUUGGAAGUUAGGAAAUAGGCAAAAAGACCACUAAUCCACGGUUCUUCAAGAAGCUAACUCUGAUGGAGAUUUUAGUUUGCAUAAUAGUAAAGGAAUGGCCUGGUGAUCAUACCCUGUGUAAGGGAAGAGAAGGAAGCAGAAGUCCAGUCGUUUGUGAUGCUGGGCCUCAGGUAUCACCAUGGGGGAGCUCUGGAGAGCCACGAUCAAUGCAUGAUGGGCCAAAAAGGCCAGUACUUGACACUCCUGCUUUCAUCAGUCAUUGGCUUUGGGCUGACCCAGGAAGGGUAUGACCUUGAAAAAGGUGUCUCUUUACAGUAGAGGCAUUUCCUGAAGUGGAUGACAGAUGAAAGCUGGGGCAAAGAUCUGGGGCAAGAUCCUUCCUUGAAGAAGGGUCUUGGUGGUUCAUUGCAUUCAUCAUAUAAGUAAUACUCCAAAGAUUUGACACAUCGAAAUAUAGGCUGACUUGAAGUAGCUCUGGUUUGUUUUCAAAGUUAUUUUGCAAACUAUUAUCUUUUGCAAUGAAGAACUAAGUGUCCCAUAGUUGAGAGGUAGAGCUGUGUUUCAUUAUAAAGUACUGCUUUAUUUUCUUUUAAUAUGUUCAUUGAUUUAAUGAUAUAAGCAGAUAUUGACAUCCAUGGUUGUAAAUCUAUCCAAUAUGUGUUCUCCAAGGAUGUACAGUCCUGUUCUUUUUAUUUAUGGGGACCUAAAAAUGAUAGCGGACAAAGAUAACAAGGCUCUGAUUUACUUAGAAUUAAUGUUCAGUUUAAUACUUCAUGUUGAUGUGCACUUGAAUUAUAUCCCGCAUUUGUGUGGCUUUGUAGAAUGUGUUUUGGAAUACAUAUUUUCCUGUCUUAAAUAUGACUGCCUGAAUAUUGCUUUUGUUAUUCAUUUGAUGCUUAUUAGCAAAUGCUAGACUAAGCUAGGUGCUCUAUAGACCUAUUUAUAUAAAGCUUGUUGCCAUGGUAACUAAGUGCUUCUCAUUUAGAAAGUAGACCAAAUUUGGUGGGAAAGGAAGAGUAGCUGCCCAAGGAAUCCUUGGCCAUAUUAAGAGCAUGUUUUCUAGGAGUGGAAAGGGAAAAACAAGGAAAUAAUUCUCCUCUCUCACAGUAAUUCCUAGUAGCUAUUCCUGGGUCAAGUUAUUAAAGAAUCAGUCAUAUGGCAAAAAAUGAGCUUGUCUUAGGGUUUCGUGAUACUUUAUGAUAUAUAUGGUCUCAUCUAUUUACCAAAUAAACUGUGUUCAAAAAAGGAAGGAACAGAAGAAUCGAACAAAAGUCAUUGUUCUUUGCACCAAACA